GUUUCCAUUUGAGAAGGAUCAGGAGUCCUCGCCAGGACCAGCUGUCUCUCGGGUGUCGGAUUCCGUGACUGCCCGCAGCCUGGAGAGCGCCACCCCCCUUCUCCCCGUCCAGGGCGCGGAGAGCCGGGAGCACCCGGGUGCUGCGCCGGGACAAGCGGAGCCGCUGCCCCCUCGCGGCCAGUCCGAGCCUGCCCUCGGGGACCCGCUCCCACCUGCCUGUGCUGCUUCCGCGCCGAGCUAGAGACGGAACCCAGUCUCGGGAACUCCCGCGGGGACUGGGGACUCCCUCCUCCUCGCUCCGGGCUGGCAGGCGAGCCAGGUCCAGAGCUGUUUGCACAGCUGCCAUAGGAACCCCGAAG
ensembl:lncRNA